rnacentral:rRNA from 1 species
GAUGAACGCUGGCGGCGUGCUUAACACAUGCAAGUCGAACGAUGAAGCCCAGCUUGCUGGGUGGAUUAGUGGCGAACGGGUGAGUAACACGUGAGUAACCUGCCCUUGACUCUGGGAUAAGCCUGGGAAACUGGGUCUAAUACUGGAUAUGACUUCUCAUCGCAUGGUGGGGGGUGGAAAGAUUUAUUGGUCUUGGAUGGACUCGCGGCCUAUCAGCUUGUUGGUGAGGUAAUGGCUCACCAAGGCGACGACGGGUAGCCGGCCUGAGAGGGUGACCGGCCACACUGGGACUGGAACACGGCCCAGACUCCUACGGGAGGCAGCAGUGGGGAAUAUUGCACAAUGGGCGCAAGCCUGAUGCAGCGACGCCGCGUGAGGGAUGACGGCCUUCGGGUUGUAAACCUCUUUCAGUAGGGAAGAAGCGAGAGUGACGGUACCUGCAGAAGAAGCGCCGGCUAACUACGUG